rnacentral:snoRNA from 1 species
UUUCAUGAUGAACCACAUCUCAGACCUGUACCGAUCCUAUGGAUUUGCGGACAACAACGAUAUUGCCUUUUAUUUUCUGAAU